CCGGAGCCGUUCCUAUUCGGCCAUCUUGGCUCCUCCAGGCCCUUAAAAUUAUAUUUCUUUCAUACUAAAGUGUGGGAGGAAAUAUGGGUAUCACCUUCCUGGCGAUUUCCCAUGGCUGGGACCUCUUAGGAAGCAGUCUCCCUAGAGUAUUUCAAAAUAAUUAUGAAAUACCUACUUCCUGUCGAAAGGUGUCCCUCCUAUUUACUCUGAGUUUUCAUAAAUAAUUUACAAUACAAAAGUAUUUGAUGGUGUGACAUUUUAAAGACAAGGAACAGAAUGAUUCCUAAAGGCUCCUCCAUAUCUAUAACAUUUUAAAAAAUCAACCGAUUGCUGUUUGUAAUCUCUCCCUGAUUUUGCUGCAAAUGACUAAUCUUAGUAUUUUCCUUCUUGUUGCAGUUCUCACCUUGAUGAUUUUAUAAAUACCUGUGCAAUCAUUUAAGGAUGCUGUUAUAACUUGCUAUCACAGGAUUCAGGUCCAAGAACCCUCUCUUAGGAUCUGCACUGGGACCUACCCCUUUUUGGCAACAUGUUCUUGGCAACCACGAAGGGACUAUCCUGAGGAGAUCCCUGACCCAAAGGAAAUAGACUGCAGAACCAAUUGGCUGACUUUGGGGCGACCAUCUUGCCCAGACACCACAUGCUGAAACACUUGGUCGGAAGGAUCAUUCCACCCCACUUUGAGUGGAUCAAAGAUGACAAGGCCCAAGUAGGGGCAAGUUUGAGCCUGGCCAGUUCAAUAUUGGGUGCUAACUGGA
rnacentral:lncRNA from 1 species